AAUGAACGCUGGCGGCAGGCCUAACACAUGCAAGUCGAACGAGUGGCGGACGGGUGAGUAAUGUCUGGGCAACUGCCUGCCGGAGGGGGAUAACUACUGGAAAAGGUAGCUAAUACCGCAUACCAUCAGAUGUGCCCAGAUGGGUUUAGCUUGUUGGUGGGGUAACGGCUCACCAAGGCGACCAUCCCUAGCUGGUCUGAGAGGAUGACCAGCCACGCGGGACAUGAGACAAGGUCCAGACACCUACGGGAGGCAGCGGAGGGGAGUAGUGCACAAUGGGCGCAAGCCUGAUGCAGCCAUGCCGAGUGGAUGAAGAAGGCAUUGGGGUUGUAAAGUAAUUUCAGCGGUGAGGCGUUACCCGCAGAAGAAGGAACGGCUAACUCCGUGCCAGCAGCCGCGGUAAUAC
rnacentral:rRNA from 1 species